CACCUACGGGUGGCAGCAGUAAGGAAUAUUGGGCAAUGGUCGGAAGACUGACCCAGCCAUGCCGCGUGCAGGAAGACGGCCCUAUGGGUUGUAAACUGCUUUUGUCGGGGAAUAAACCUGCCCACGUGUGGGCAGCUGAAGGUACCCGGCGAAUAAGCAUCGGCUAACUCCGUGCCAGCAGCCGCGGUAAUACGGAGGAUGCAAGCGUUAUCCGGAUUCACUGGGUUUAAAGGGUGCGCAGGCGGGAUGAUAAGUCAGAGGUGAAAUCCUACGGCUCAACUGUAGAACUGCCUUUGAUACUGUCGUUCUUGAGUAAAGUUGGAGUGGGCGGAAUGUGUUGUGUAGCGGUGAAAUGCUUAGAUAUAACACAGAACACCGAUCGCGAAGGCAGCUCACUAAGCUUUAACUGACGCUCAUGCACGAAAGCGUGGGGAUCAAACAGGAUUAGAUACCCUGGUAGUCCACGCUGUAAACGAUGAUCACUCGCUGUUGGCGAUACACUGCCAGUGGCUAAGCGAAAGUGAUAAGUGAUCCACCUGGGGAGUACGAUCGCAAGAUUGAAACUCAAAGGAAUUGACGGGGGCCCGCACAAGCGGAGGAGCAUGUGGUUUAAUUCGAUGAUACGCGAGGAACCUUACC
rnacentral:rRNA from 1 species